rnacentral:rRNA from 1 species
UAGAGAUGUGUGAUGACGCAUAUCAAUAAGCGGAGGGAAAAGAAACUAACUAGGAUUCCCUUAGUAACGGCGAGUGAAGCGGGAAGAGCUCAAAUUUGAAAUCUUCAAGGUUCUACCUUGACGAAUUGUAGUUUAAGGAAGUGUUUUCUGUUGGAGUUUUGGUAAAAGUUCUUUGGAAUAGGACAUCAUAGAGGGUGAGAAUCCCGUAUUUGGUCAUUCCUCCUAGCGUUGUGAUACACUUUCAACGAGUCGGAUUGUUUGGGAAUGCAGUCCAAAAUGGGUGGUAAAUUUCAUCUAAAGCUAAAUAUUGGCGAGAGACCGAUAGCGAACAAGUACCGUGAGGGAAAGAUGAAAAGAACUUUGAAAAGAGAGUUAAACAGUACGUGAAAUUGUCAAAAGGGAAGCGUUUGACACCAGUGUUGUUUUUCCGAAAAUCAAUUACGAAUGUUUUGUUUUUGAGGAGUUAUGGACUUCAUCGGCUUGCUUCUUUCUUUACGAAACUUUCUUAAUGCACUUUUCGGUUAACAAGUCAACAUCAAUUUCUUUUGUUGUAAAAGGGUACGAGGAAGGUGGCUUUCUAUUCGGAGAAAGUGUUUAUAGCCUUGUACCUCUGCAAUCGGAGAGAUUGAGGUCUGCAGCGUAGAUCCUUCGGGGUUAGAUACAUUUGUGCUAAGUUAUAGCUUUUCAUAGACAACUUGUUGACUAUGUUAAGUCUUGUAGCUUACUCGCUUAUGCUAUUUUACCUACGCUUAGGAUGUUGAAGAUGUAGCACAUCAU